ACGGAUCAGCGGACGGCCGCGUGCCCCCUUCACGGAGGGUGCGAGGAAAGUCCGGGCACCGCAGAGCAGGAUGGUGGGCAACGCCCACCCGGGGCGACCCGCGGGCCAGUGCCACAGAGAGAAGACCGCCCCCGCGUCCGCGCGGGGGUGAGGGUGAAAGGGUGGUGUAAGAGACCACCAGCGGCCUCGGUGACGGGGCCGGCUAGGUAAACCCCAUCCGGUGCAAGGCCGAACAGGACGCGUCACGAGGCUGCUCGCCCCAGCGUCCGGGUUGGCCGCUCGAGCCCGUCAGCAAUGGCGGGCCCAGAUGGAUGGCCGUCACCCCGCGCGGGGCAACGCGCGCGGGGCACAGAACCCGGCUUACAGCUGAUCCGUCCCA
rnacentral:RNase_P_RNA from 1 species